UCAAAUUUGGGAAACUGUAAGCAGCAUGACAUGUUUAGAGUGCAGGAUAAGAAUGUCUGCAGGAGUGAAGUGUUCAUAAUCAGGAGAUUAUGCGUGUUCUAUAAUCAGGAGAUUGUGCAUGUUGUAUAAUCAGGAGACGGAAUCUCCUGCAGGCAUUCAAAGCCCACUAACCCAUUUUAAACAAGGGAAGAAAAUGCGUGACUUUCUGCUUUAGAACAACUGCCCUUGGGACAGUACAGAAGAGGAAAUGAAGAAGAGGAAGUCUAGAGGAAGUGGGAACAGUUUAUUGACUAUUACAAUAGUCCAAGCAAAAGAUAAUGAGAACAUAAAGUAGAAAAGGAAAUGUAGGAAUGGAGAAGAAAUAACAAUUUAAAAACAUUUAAGGGAUCCUUCUAACAAAACCCAGUGAUUAGUGGUACAUCUGGAAUGAGGGAUUAUUCCAAGGUUUAUUAUUUAGAUAAUAGGUGACUCAUGCAGAGACUAAACACAGGAAAAACAAUUUUCAGGAAAAAUUAGAAAAGUUGCUAUUUAUACAUGUUAAAUUUGAGUUGUCUAUAACAGAUCUGUCUACUGAUAACAAUUUGGCUAUCGAACUCAGGAGUAAAAUUUUGUCUAAAGAUAAAAGAUGAAAAUUAGAAGUGCCUAAAACUGACAACGGGUCUGGUAUCUAGAUCAUCCAAGGAACUUCCGCAAAUUCAUCAGACUAAAAAGAAGAACCCUAAAUAGAAAAAAAAAAAUGGUCAAAGGACAGGAAUAGGCAAUUAAUAGAAAAGGAAACUCCCAAAUUUCUCAAGCAUAUGAAGAGAUGCUUAAGCUCAUUAGUAAUGUGAGACAUGAAAAAUUAAAAUUGCAAUGGUAUGUUACUCUCUAUCUAGUCUACUGGAUAAAAAUUAGAAAGUUAGACAACAUGAAGUGUUGGCCUGGAUUUGAAGAUGCAGGAAUUUAGAGACUGGUUGGAGAAGCAGGCAAGAGAUGGGCAUUCUGGAGUGCAAUCUGACAGUAUUUGGUUAAAAUUGACUAAAUUAAGUAUAGACACCCCCUCUGGCCCAAUAAUUCUGCUUCUGAAUACACGUGUUGAAGAGAUUCUCACACAUAUCCACAGGGUGCCUGUGCAGCAGUAUUCACUGUGAUAGGAAGUGAGAAGCAGUCUGAGUGUUCAUUGCUGAGGGAAUCAAGGGCAAAAUAUCAUGGAUGCACUCAUGGACAAAUAAGCAGCAGUUUGAAGCAACAACCUAGAUGGAUGUACAGCCAUCAAGAGGAUCUUAAAGUGUGGUCUUUAGUGGAAAAAAAGGUUACAUUUGAACAUAUUUAUCUGCUAAAGCAAAAUAAUUCCCAUCAUUCUAUAGCAGAAGCAAUGUAUGGGAGACUGAGUAAUUACAUAUAAGCUCACAUCACUAUCUCUUCCACCACUGUCAUCCAUCAUGACUGAUCUGGGAGAUGAAACAGCACAGAUCUAAAGGACGUGCUUAUUUUGGGAGAGACCAGCCGCCAUGUCAUGAAGACACUCAAGAAGCCCUGUGAAGAGGGAGCAAGGCCUGCCAACAACAGCCAGCACCAACUUUCCAGCCAAGGGACUGAGCCAUCUCACAGUGGAUCCUCCAGCCCCCACCAAGACUUCAUAUGACCAAACCAAUACCAACAUGUAACUGUGACCUCAUGUGAGUCCCCAAGCCAGAAUACCCAUCUCCUGUCUCAUAGAAAUGAUGAGAAAUAAUAAAUAUAUGUGCUCACACAUAUUACCAUCUAAUUUUCUACAUUAUAUGUUUAUUUCCCCACUGUAUAUAAGAUCCAAGGACUGUUUUCUUUUUCACUGCUAUAUUCCAAGAACCUAGAACAAAUCUGGCAUAUGGUAAGUAUACAAUAAAUAUCUGUUGAAUUAAUUAAUGGGAAAAAAUAAAUGAAUGAUGAACGGCUGCUCUGGAAAAAAUACCUUGAAGAGUGGCAGGAGCGGAAAGAGGAGGAUCAGAUGGGAGGCUAACAGCCAGCACCACCUUGCCAGCCAAGUGACUGAGCCAUCUUGCAGUGGAUCCUCCAGCCCCCAUCAAGCCCCAACUAAGCCACUAAGUUUCAUGGUAAUUUCUUACACUGCAAUAAAUAACUAAUACUGGACCAGUGAGAAAAGGAGUCAAGAAUAAUCUCAGCUUUCUACCUUUAAUAACUUAAUGGAUAGUGGUGCUAUUAAUCAAGUCAGGAAAGAGAAAGGACAAUAAUUACACCUAUAGUAUUACCCAAAGUCAUGAUAAAUUAUUUUCCAUAUGCUCUUGCUAAAAUUUAUGUAGUCAUUCAACUUAUUUUAUUGAGUAUCUACCAUGAAACUGGCAAUAUGGAAGAACCUUCUGAUAUAGAACUGAAUAUAAUUUAGUCACUGCCCUCAAGUAAUAAGUCUGGAGAAUCAAGAAUCUGAAAAAUGUUUGUAGCUUUUGUUCAAAAUUUUCUCUCAGCCAUUUAAAGGGAAAAUUAUGAAGAUUGUAUAGUGGUGACAGACUGGGAUAGCAGUCCACAAAAACUUAGGAAGCCCUUCCAUAGCACAGAGUCAAUGCUGAGGAACAGCUGCCCAGCCAGGGGCUACAUUUUCCAACCCACCCUUGCAUCUAGGUGUGGCCACAUGGUGCAUUUGGACAAUGGGUGAUAAACUAGUAUGAGAAUGAGAACAGAAGUAAUGUGUGUUUCUUCUAGGCUGAGGAUAUCAGAAAACAAACAUAUCAUCUCUACACUGCUUAUUUCUCUUUCUACAGAUUCAGUACAGGUAAUCAUGUGGCUCUAGGCAAUGCCAGAGUCACAAGAGGGAAGGAAACUGGGUCCCCAUCCCAUUUGGUAGACAAGAGUCUUUGCCCACCAGGGACAUCCUCAUUGGACUAUGGUGUGAGUGAGAAAUAACAUUCUAUUGUUUUUAAGGCAAUAAAAAUUGCCUACAUUUCAGGUUUAUUUAUUACAACCACCCACAUUUUCUUAAGCAGUAGCGAAAGAAACAUAAACGACAGUUUAAUGCCAAAUCAAAAAUGUCAAAUGCAAAAUUAUUUUAUGCUAUUACAGUAUAAAAUUAUGUCCACUUUGGGGCAAGGACUUAGAAAAAUGCAGAAAUAAACAUGUAAAGUUAUUAAGUAGGAACAAUUAUAGAUACAUUUUUAUCUUAUUAAAUUUCAGUUAUUUUUGAAAAGGUAAUAUACAUUCUGUUUAAGAAGGUUAAAGUGAGUAAUUACACUUGAAUAAAGUUUCAACCUGAAAUACUUUAGUUAUAAUUGGAGAAUUACCAGAAGAUUAAAUUCUAGAUAUCUGGAAAUUUUACCUAUGUGAGAUCUGCUCAUUAACCCAUCAAUACCAGAGAGAAGAGGUAUUGCUGGACAUGGUCCUAUCAUCUGGGGGAUAAGUACUGGAGGAGAUGUGAAAGAGAGGGUGAUGGGGCUUCUAAGGUAAGACAUGGAAAAUUGUGAAGAUAUGUGUGUCCCUUAUGGACACUCACAAAAUGGUGACCUAGGCAGAGGAGGAUUUUAAUAAUAGGAUGACCAGUUCUGUGGAUGUCAAUGAGUGGCUUUCCCCCAGCCAUUCCUGUCAUUGUCCAAUGGGCUCAUGAGCCAAGUGGCUGAUAUGGUUUAGAUGUUUGUCUCCUCCAAAUCUCAUAUUGAAAUGUAAUCCUCAGUGUUAGCGGUGGGGCCCAGUGAGAGGUGUUUGGAUCAUGGGGGCGAGUCCCUCAUGAAUGGUCUAGCACCAUGCCCUUGACGAUAAGUGUGUUCUCGCUCUGAGUUUACAUGAGAUCUGCUUGUUUAAAAGUAUGUGGCACCUUCUCUUUUGUUCUCUUGCUCCCACUCUUGCUGUGUGAUAUGCCUGCUCCCACUUUGUCAUCCGCCAUGUGUAAAAGCUCCUGAGGCCUCACCAGAAGCCAAGGAGAUGCUGGCACCAGGCUUGUACAGCCUUCAGAACCAUGAGCUAAGGAAACUUCUUUUCUUUGUAAAUUACCCAGCCUCAGGUAUUUCUUUAUAGCAAUGCAAGAAUGCUGUAAUACCAUGGCCGUGAUGGCAGGGGUGAAGGCUAUGCAUGGGCUCAACAACAUGGACAUUCACUCACCAAGGCUGACCUGGCUAUGGCCACUGCAGAGUGCCUACUCUACCAGCAGCAGGGGCCAACACUGAGUCUCCUUAUGGUACCAUUCCCCAAAUGAUCAGCCAGCUACGUGGUGGUAGAUUGGUUAAUUUGGGCCACUUCCAUCACGGAAGAUGCAGCACUUUGUCCUUACUAGAAUAGACACAAAGAAGAGGAGAUAUGAAGACAGAUGCAAAGAUUGGAGUGAUGCAGCCACACCCGGGAAGCCAAGGAAUGUAUUCUGCUGCCAGAAGCUGGAAGAGGCGGGAGCAGAUUCUCCCUAGAGCAUCUACAGAGUGUGGCCAUGCCGAUACCUUGAUUUUGACUUCUGGCCUCCAGAACUGUGAGAGAAUAAAUUUCUGUGAUUUUAAACCACCAAAUAUGUGGUAAUUUGUUAUGGGAGUCCUAGGAAAUGAAUACAAAGUUUGUAAUCUAAUACAAAGUUUGUAUUAGCUUCACAAGGCUGCUAUAACAAAUUGCCAUAAACCUGGUGGCUAAAAGCAAUUAAAAUUUAUUCCCUUACAGUUCUGGAGGCCAGAAGUUCAAAAUCAAGGUGUCAGUGAGGGUCUGCCUCAUCGAAAGGCUCUAGGGGAGGAUCCUCCCUUGCCUCUUCCAGUUUCUGUUGCCUCCACAUAUUUCCGAGCUUGUGUUCACAUCACUCCAGUCUCUGCCUCUGUUUUCACGUCUUCUUCUCUGCGUGUCUAUGUCUUCUCUUCUGUUCACCCUCUCUCUACCAAUUAGCUCAGGAUAAAUGCCAUCAGAAAAGGUAUGGCUUUCAAGAUCUAGUCAUUGAUAAAAAGAAAUAUAACUUUUGAAAGCCCUUU
rnacentral:lncRNA from 1 species